rnacentral:rRNA from 1 species
AUGGCGUGCGACGCGUGCGGCUGCGCUUGCAGCGCCGGCGGCGAAGCACCCAGGGUGGAGCUGAAAGCGCCACUGCUGGUGGAUAUCGAGACCGGACCCAGCCCCAUCACGGCGGCGCCGGCAGACAGCGAGGUCGACGACGGGAUGGAGAAGGGGCGCAUGAUCGUCACCUCCAUUGCCCGGGGAUUGUUGCUUUUGCUGUGGUUGUAUCUGGUCGAUUUAAUGAGAAGACCUUUGAUCAAUGAUGGCGAUAGUGAAUUUAGCCCGAUACACAUAGUUUGUGUCGGUUUCCCGGCCGUACUCGUGGGCAUGGUUUUCUUGCAAAUCUGUGUGUCCAUAUCCGUUCCUACAGAUGCCUCUGGAGUUCCUAUAGGGUUUGAACUUUGA